AACGAACGCUGGCGGCAUGCCUAACACAUGCAAGUCGAACGAGACCUUCGGGUCUAGUGGCGCACGGGUGCGUAACGCGUGGGAACCUGCCCUUAGGUUCGGAAUAACUCCCCGAAAGGGGUGCUAAUACCGGAUAAUGUCUUCGGACCAAAGAUUUAUCGCCUUUGGAUGGGCCCGCGUUGGAUUAGCUAGUUGGUAGGGUAAAAGCCUACCAAGGCGACGAUCCAUAGCUGGUCUGAGAGGAUGAUCAGCCACACUGGGACUGAGACACGGCCCAGACUCCUACGGGAGGCAGCAGUGGGGAAUAUUGGACAAUGGGCGAAAGCCUGAUGCAGCAAUGACGCGUGAGUGAUGAAGGCCUUAGGGUUGUAAAGCUCUUUUACCCGGGAUGAUAAUGACAGUACCGGGAGAAUAAGCUCCGGCUAACUCCGUG
rnacentral:rRNA from 1 species